CACCGCCCGUCGCUACUACCGAUGGAUUAUUUAGUGAGGUCUCUGGAGGCACACCUUCCGCGAUUCCUUCGUGAGUUGCAGUUGGCACGGCCGAAGUUGACCGAACUUGAUGAUUUAGAGGAAGUAAAAGUCGUAACAAGGUUUGCCGUAGGUGAACCUGCGGAAG
rnacentral:rRNA from 1 species